GCCAGGGUGGCUCAGUUGGUUGAGCGUCCGACUUCAGCUCAGGUCAUGAUCUCAUGUGGGUUUGAGCCCCGCGUCGGGCU
rnacentral:tRNA from 1 species